CAGCAGCCACGGUAAUACAGAGGUCCCGAGCGUUGUUCGGAUUCACUGGGCGUAAAGGGUGUGUAGGAGGUUGGAUAAGUCAGGUGUGAAAUCCCGCAGCUCAACUGCGGAACUGCAUUCGAUACUGUUCAACUAGAGGAUCGGAGGGGGAAGCGGAAUUCUUGGUGUAGCGGUGAAAUGCGUAGAUAUCAAGAGGAACACCGGUGGCGAAGGCGGCUUCCUGGAAGAUACCUGACUCUGAAACACGAAAGCCAGGGGAGCGAAUGGGAUUAGAUACCCCCGUAGUCCCUGUCUCUUAUAC
rnacentral:rRNA from 1 species